GAUGAACGCUGGCGGCGUGCCUAAUACAUGCAAGUCGAGCGAACGGACGAGAAGCUUGCUUCUCUGAUGUUAGCGGCGGACGGGUGAGUAACACGUGGAUAACCUACCUAUAAGACUGGGAUAACUUCGGGAAACCGGAGCUAAUACCGGAUGAUAUUUUGAACCGCAUGGUUCAAAAGUGAAAGACGGUCUUGCUGUCACUUAUAGAUGGAUCCGCGCUGCAUUAGCUAGUUGGUAAGGUAACGGCUUACCAAGGCAACGAUGCAUAGCCGCCCUGAGAGGGUGAUCGGCCACACUGUAACUGAGACACGGUCCAGACUCCUACGGGAGGCAGCAGUAGGGAAUCUUCCGCGAUGGGCGAAAGCCUGACGGAGCAACGCCGCGUGAGUGAUGAAGGUCUUCGGAUCGUAAAACUCUGUUAUUAGGGAAGAACAUAUGUGUAAGUAACUGUGCACAUCUUGACGGUACCUAAUCAGAAAGCCACGGCUAACUACGUG
rnacentral:rRNA from 1 species